AUAAAACUCAGCCUCUCUGGGAGCAAAUUGUCACUCUCAACAUUCCGCAGGCUGGUGGCGGCGCGGGCUGUCCUCGGACGCAAACUACACCUCCCAGGAUUCCGCGAGCCAAGGGGGUGGUUCUGGCCGGGACCGGAGCGACUGAACUCGCGGCUUUGCGCACGCGCACAGGCUCCGCGCCGGGCUCGCCAGCCGGGCAGGCGCACGAGGGACACCUGCGAACCUGGAGGUGGCGGAGGCUGCGAACCCGGCGGCGCGGCCAAACCUGCGCUGGCUGCAUGGGCCUCCUGGGCCAGGAGCUGGCGCUGGGGGCGGCGGCGGUGUGGGAAAGUGGCGCCGCAGUGGGGCCUCCUGGACGUGUUGGCGGAGGUGGCUUCAGUCCCGCGGAGCCCAGGCUUCAGGCUUUCACCAGUUCUCGGGAUGCCCAUAGGGAUGGGUGAAGCCCGCCUGGCCUGUGGUGCUUCCCAGUGGCCGUCAUCUCACUAG
rnacentral:lncRNA from 1 species